AACAGCUUGACCUCUGGAGGCACUGGAGACAAAGAUCAGCCACAUGGCAGUCAACCAUGUCUAUCUGACCAAGUUCCAAUGAAAACUCUGGACACCAAGGCUUGUGUGAGCUUCCCCAGUUGUACAUGUAUUGAUUUAUACACUUGGAGAUAUUUCUCAAAAGACUCCUCUGCGGGAGAGGAGAAUAGAGAAAGAAAGAAAACAACUGUGUAAGCAGACAUCAGUGUAAACCUUAGCACUGUCUCUUGAUGAGAUAAGAGGAGGAUGGCAG